UCCGGAUUUAAUGGAUGUAACAAAUAAAAAGAUGUAAUGGACCUGAUUUCUUUAUCAAAACCAUGGAUCUGAUUUCUUUAUCGAAACCAUCAAGAAAGCAUUCCUUGAUUCAGAUUGUGCUUCUUCCAUUUUUUUCUUUGAUUUGAUCCAUCUAGAGUUUACACUUCUAUAGGGUGGGUUGGAGUAGACGAUGGAUAGUGUCAAAGGGCAACACGUCUUACUUUCCCCCAAUUGCCAUGCCCAUUUCUUCAGCAUAUGCCACUUACGAGUUUUGUUCCUAGAAAUUUCCUCCCCGAUUCAGGUCUUGCUGGGUUUUGCAAGGGUUUCAUGAAAGAAUCCCGCUAGUUUGUCAAUUGGGUUUCUUAGGAAACUAGAGAAGGCAUGUUUGGUUG
rnacentral:lncRNA from 1 species